rnacentral:tRNA from 1 species
UCCCCAGUGGUCCAAUGGUUAGGACUCAGUGCUUUCACUGCAGGGUCCCAGAUUCAAUCCCUGGUGGGGGAC